GCAUAUCAAUAAGCGGAGGAAAAGAAACCAACAGGGAUUGCCCUAGUAACGGCGAGUGAAGCGGCAACAGCUCAAAUUUGAAAUCUGGCUCUCGGGCCCGAGUUGUAAUUUGUAGAGGAUACUUUUGAUGCGGUGCCUUCCGAGUUCCCUGGAACGGGACGCCAUAGAGGGUGAGAGCCCCGUCUGGUUGGAUGCCAAAUCUCUGUAAAGUUCCUUCGACGAGUCGAGUAGUUUGGGAAUGCUGCUCUAAAUGGGAGGUAUAUGUCUUCUAAAGCUAAAUACCGGCCAGAGACCGAUAGCGCACAAGUAGAGUGAUCGAAAGAUGAAAAGCACUUUGAAAAGAGAGUUAAAAAGUACGUGAAAUUGUUGAAAGGGAAGCGUUUAUGACCAGACUUGGGCUUGGUUGAUCAUCUGGGGUUCUCCCCAGUGCACUCUUCCAGUCCAGGCCAGCAUCAGUUUUCGCCGGGGGAUAAAGACUUCGGGAAUGUGGCUCUCUUCGGGGAGUGUUAUAGCCCGUUGUGUAAUACCCUGGCGGGGACUGAGGUUCGCGCAUCUGCAAGGAUGCKGCKWWAKRYYCCGGGG
rnacentral:rRNA from 1 species